GUGGCAUCCCAGCCACACUGCAGGAAGUGAUACUUCCAGUGGUUGACCAUGCCAUCUGCUCUCAGAGUGACUGGUGGGGCUCAGCAGCCAAGGUGACCAUGGUUUGUGCUGGUGGAGACGGCGUGAAAUCCGGGUGCAGUGGUGAUUCAGGGGGUCCUCUGCAGUGUCACACGGAAGGUCACUGGAAAAUCCAUGGGAUCGUUAGCUUUGGCAUUGUCCCCUACUGCAACACCUACAGGAAGCCCACAGUCUUCACCCGAGUAUCCGCCUACAUCAAUUGGAUUUAUGACACUAUGGAGAAAAAUGGUGGCUACUAAGGAAGGAUCAACUUAUACGUGGAUAUGAACUAUCAUUAGAACGAAAAGAUAUGCCUGCUAAUUGCAUCUCUGUGGAUCAUCAA